rnacentral:rRNA from 1 species
CCUACGGGUGGCAGCAGUGAGGAAUAUUGGUCAAUGGGCGUAAGCCUGAACCAGCUAAGUCGCGUGAGGGAUGAAGGUUCUAUGGAUCGUAACCCUCUUUUAUAAGGGAAUAAAGUGUGGGACGUGUCCUUUUCUGUAUGUACCUUAUGAAUAAGGAUCGGCCAACUCCGGGCCAGCAGCCGCGGUAAUACGGAGGAUCCGAGCGUUAUCCGGAUUUAUUGGGUGUAAAGGGUGCGUAGGCGGCCUUUUAAGUCAGCGGUGAAAGUCUGUGGCUCAACCAUAGAAUUGCCGUUGAAACUGGGUGGCUUGAGUAUGUUUGAGGCAGGCGGAAUGCGUGGUGUAGCAGUGAAAUGCUUAGAUAUCACGCAGAACCCCGAUUGCGAAGGCAGCCUGCCGAGCCAUGACUGACGCUGAUGCACGAAAGCGUGGGGAUCAAACAGGAUUAGAUACCCGUGUAGUC